rnacentral:rRNA from 1 species
UAGGGAAUCUUCCACAAUGGGCGAAAGCCUGAUGGAGCAACGCCGCGUGUGUGAUGAAGGCUUUCGGGUCGUAAAGCACUGUUGUAUGGGAAGAACAGCUAGAGUAGGGAAUGACUUUAGUUUGACGGUACCAUACCAGAAAGGGACGGCUAAAUACGUGCCAGCAGCCGCGGUAAUACGUAUGUCCCGAGCGUUAUCCGGAUUUAUUGGGCGUAAAGCGAGCGCAGACGGUUGAUUAAGUCUGAUGUGAAAGCCCGGAGCUCAACUCCGGAAAGGCAUUGGAAACUGGUCAACUUGAGUGCAGUAGAGGUAAGUGGAACUCCAUGUGUAGCGGUGGAAUGCGUAGAUAUAUGGAAGAACACCAGCGGCGAAGGCGGCUUACUGGACUGUAACUGACGUUGAGGCUCGAAAGUGUGGGUAGCAAACAGG